GAUGAACGCUAGCGGCAGGCUUAAUACAUGCAAGUCGAGGGGCAGCAGCUUUGUAGCAAUACAGGGGCUGGCGACCGGCAAACGGGUGCGGAACACGUACGCAACCUUCCUUUAACUGGAAGAUAGCCCACCGAAAGGUGGAUUAAUACUCCAUAACAUAUUGAAGAGGCAUCUCUUUGAUAUUAAAGCUCCGGCGGUUAAAGAUGGGCGUGCGUCUGAUUAGGUAGUUGGCGGGGUAACGCCCACCAAGCCUUCGAUCAGUAGCUGAUGUGAGAGCAUGAUCAGCCACACGGGCACUGAGACACGGGCCCGACUCCUACGGGAGGCAGCAGUAAGGAAUAUUGGUCAAUGGACGCAAGUCUGAACCAGCCAUGCCGCGUGGAGGAUGAAGGCCCUCUGGGUUGUAAACUUCUUUCUUUGGGACGAAACCCCUGUUUCUACGGGGACUGACGGUACCAGAGGAAUAAGCACCGGCUAACUCCGUGCCAGCAGCCGCGG
rnacentral:rRNA from 1 species